CCUACGGGAGGCAGCAGUGGGGAGUAUUGGACAAUGGGCGCAAGCCUGAUCCAGCAAUGCCGCGUGAGUGAUGAAGGCCCUAGGGCUGUAAAGCUCUUUUACCCGGGAAGAUAAUGACUGUACCGGGAGAAUAAGCCCCGGCUAACUCCGUGCCAGCAGCCGCGGUAAU
rnacentral:rRNA from 1 species